GAAAUGGGGACCCUGGAUUUUCUUGAGUUGCGGUACAGAGUCGAUUGGCCCCUCAAUAUAGUCAUUACGGAAAAGUCUGUCGUGAAAUACAACAAGGUAUUCUCUUUUAUGUUGCGGCUAAAACGUCUUUCGUGGGUCCUGCGGGAUAUUUGGUUUCAUUUGAAGCACGUUGCCUACUCACGCAAUGUAGCCGGUUCGCCCCAACUUCGUCAGCUGCAGCUCUUCAGGUAAUUUAUAAGAACAUCUCUGA